UACUGCGCAGGCGCUGCGGGAGGCCACUGGUGCUCAAGCACCUCGGAUUCCCGCUCAUACAGCCGGCCGGAUCAUGUGGCAGUCAGGUGGCGACCACUAUCUAGCCCAACGUUGCUGGAGUUGUUGCAGCUCUGCCGGGCCCACAUAUCAGCGUUCGUGCAUGACGGUGAGUUGCCACCCAUGGCAUCUCUGGACCAGUUGCAGGCCAGAUUUGGGAACAGCCCGCCUGGCUCCCUGUCCUCCCUGAGGCUGAUGCAGGCAGACAGCCUCCUGUGGAUGGGUCACAAAAUGACUGUGCAGCAGCCGAAGGCCCCUGGAACCCAGACAGAUGUGCUACUGGCUGACCUUCAGCACUGCAGGCAGCAGAAGGGCUACCCCUGGGGAGGCCCAGGCCCAGGGCUUCCCCCGCCCCCUGAACUACACCCAUGGCUGCCACUUCAGCUGAUCUGCGGUGACAUGCCCACCACCACCUCAGACCUCUACAGCUUCUGCAUCCUGAUCCAGGAGGUCUUCACUGAGAAACUGUACAUCAAGUGGCUCACAGAGCCAAGACCACACCCAGGCCUGUGGCCCCUGUGAUGUCCCCAGGCCCCAUCCCAUGCCAGGCCUGAGACUCCUGAGGUCAGAGACCACAGCAGGAUCCCAAGGGGUGCAGCCUGGAACUUGGGCAGCAGCUUGACUCUAGGCAGCAGCUCUGGGCCCAGCCCAGGACCCAGCCCUGGGUCUGGCCACAGCCCCACAGCCAGGGUCAGCCUGCACUGCUGCCUGGAGCCCAGCUCAACAGUACAGAUACCCCCAGAGCCCUGCACAACUGUCCCACUGCUAACCUGUGACCCCCUCCGCCCGCCCUCCAGGAGUCACCAACCCGAAGUUCCCUGGCUGCCUCUCCUUUGACCAGGGAACUUUAGGGUCGCCCAACUGUCCCCUCACUCACCUAUGACCCUUAACCAACCCUGCUUCCCCCAGGGCCCUUCCCUGCACUCCAACUCCAGCCUCUAGGACUCAGCCUCCCUGCUGGGGACCCAGAGCUCUGCGGAACAGUUUGAGGAAGCUCUCAGCCAAGAUUCCAGCCCUGCAGGGGCUGCUGCGGCGCACACACAGGGUUAUUCUGCUGGAGCCCCAGCCCUGCACCCGGUACUGAGCUGACUAGAGGAGGUCUCUUCUCCAGCCUGCAGAAGAUGGACCUGCUGGAGGAGAUCAUAGCAGAGCUACAAAAAGGAUGUCAGCUUGGAGAAAAGCCCAGCCUGAGCCCCACUCCUGACCUAGACUCCCAGGGUGCCCAUGGUUCCCCUCUCUGCAGAUACCACCUCUCAGAGGCUCCCAGGAGUAACUCCUGCCUUGGUGCCUCCCCAAAAGGAAAUAGAAUGAUAAAGUGCCCCCUC
ensembl:lncRNA TEX14BP testis expressed 14B, pseudogene